UAAAAUAAUUUAUUGAUCAGAAACAAAUAUCUAUGAUAAUUACAUAAAUAGGAACAAUAAAUAAAUGACUGACAUAAAGAUCCUGUUACAAAUGGCGUAAAAUGAUCUGAAACUAUUGUCACAGUGCACAGAUAGACUAAAUAGUAACAGCUUUUAAAAUUCCACCGCAUCUCAUUUUAAAUCCUGUAUAAAAUAUUACUUGAUUUUGAUUAGUACUUCUAAAAAUGUUGGUAUUUAACUUUCUAAACUUCUUUGUGAGUUUGUCCUAGAUUAGGGUUACCAUUCGUCCGGAUUUACCCGGACAUGUCCUCCUUUUCGUGCUAAAAAUAGCAUCCGGGGGGAAUUUGUAAAGCACUCAAAAUGUCCGGGAUUUCCCCCCUCCCCUGGCAGAGCAGAGCGAGCGGCUGGGAGGGCUGCAGGAAAGUCACGGGCUGGACUUCGGAGCAGCUGUAGAGGAGCCGGAUCCGCCCUGCAUUCUGAGCCAGCAGCUCUCCCCUGCAACCCGGUCCGGCAGCACUGUGCAGGGCCAGGGACCGGGUUUUGUUGUGCUGGGGAGCGCAGCCACAUGUCCGGCUCGGCUCGCACAGAGCCCAACACCCUGUUCUGAGCAGCAGGGAAACGUCUCAAGCUCCGGUAUAUGAUGAGGACAGAGUGAAUGUAUCGCAUGACACGUCAAGCGUUCUGGAGUGUUAGAAGUCACUGUGGGAAGAAUCGGCAGAGAGGAGGGAUUCCAUUGCAUCCUUCUGUUUUAACCUCAGUAGUUGCAGCAGCCGGAGCUGAAAGGAAAUAGGGAAUGGUUGAAAUACAAAGGGAAAAAAUAUAAUUUUCAUUGAAUUGAUCUCAAUAAAUUAAAUGAAAAUA